rnacentral:rRNA from 1 species
AGAAGCGAUACCGCGAGGAGGAGCAAAUCUGAAAAAAGACGUCCCUAGUUCGGAUUGUAGGCUGAAACUCGCCUACAUGAAGCUGGAAUUGCUAGUAAUCACAGGUCAGCAUACUGUGGUGAAUACGUUCCCGGGCCUUGUACACACCGCCCGUCACACCAUGAGAGUUGAGAACACCCGAAGUCCGUAGCCUAACCGCAAGGGGGGCGCGGCCGAAGGUGGGUUCGAUAAUUGGGGUGAAGUCGUAACAAGGUAUC